UGUGUUCCCGUCUGCGUCUCCCGUUAAUCAGCCGGAUUCCUCUGGAAGGAAACCAUCCUAACGGCGCCAGAGGUUCUGCUGGAGCUCAUGUUGUUCUGAUCCAAAUCAGAGAGAAAAACCUCUGACAAAUCAUGCUGUGUAGAAAUCAAUGUUGCUCUUCCCCAAGACGCUGAUAUUUAUAGAUGUGAGGUUUGUGCAGCGAGCUGCAGCAGAAGCAUCCAGUUAUGCAGAUAUGAGGAGGCAAACAGCAGAUCUGCAUCCGCUCAGAGUUUCCCUGUCAGAUUCAGGCCUUACUGGGAAUCUCACAACCAGAGACAUUUCAGUUACUGAGCUGGAAAAAUGUUGACCUGGAAUUACCUGGAAUGAUCCGGUUCUGUAAACCGUCUGACAGCAGCAGAUGGUUUGUGUUCCUCUGCUGCAGGUUUUCUUAAAAUCACUCAGUUUUACAUUCGUGUUAUUUUUACAUCAAAUAUAUUUAAAUGUAACAAAAUCAAUUUUGCAUUUAGUUCAGUUAAUAUAAAGACUUUCUGAUUUUCUACUGGAAAAAAUGAAGUCAAAAGAAAUAUUUGGAUUGGAAGUUUUCAAUCCAAAUCUAAAACCUUUUUAGGGGAAGCUAAAAUGUUUGGCAUUUUUUUACAGUUAGCAAAAAUGUUAAUGGGUUAAAAAAACAUUUGUUUCAAUAUUAGCAAAAUAGAACGGCAUUGAAAACAUUACAGGUUUAACUUUUUUAUGAUGUCAUUGCUGAAUGUAAUAAAAUAUAAACUCCUUUGAGAUUCCAGAGAGGAUCCUCCUCCCCCACUAGUUGCUGCAGCCAGUCUGGUUUGCAUCCCUGAAUAUUUACUGACCUAGUUUAAUUUCUAAUCUAUGGACAGCAGAGAGUUGACCUGAAGACCAGAUUAAUAAAUAUUCUGUGGAAAAUGAUCGUUUGGAGAAAAUCAACAUUUAGUUUUUCAGUAUUUACUUGUUCAGAUUCAUCAGCUGAGUGGCUUCAGUGUUUCAGAUCAAAUAACUGAUGAAAAACCUCCAGUGAGGCUGAAAUCAAGAAUCGUGCCGAUCAGAGUCGGUCUGAACAGCUUCAUCGUUUCCUUUUGAUUAGUUUCCUCCAGUAACUUCACAGCUUUUAUUUUAUUUUAUUUUCUUUGCAGAAUGUUCAGAUUUGUUUUACAAUCUGAAACAGAUUUGAUCUGCAGACUCUUCCACCUCGACCUGAACUCCAACUGGGUUUUUAGCUCCAGGAAUGUUUCUGAGCUUUUCCUCUCAAAAAAAGGAAAAAGUUCAGUUUUAUUUCAGGAAAAAACUGAAAUAAGAAAUAAGUUGUUAUUUUUCUACAUGUGAUUCUCAAACAUUGAACUGAGAGAUGACGUCAUCGUAACGGAUCAUUUUAAAGGUGUGAAAGAAUAUUUUAAGAGAUCUUGGAAUGAAACCGGCACCAGUUUAGCUCCUCAGUUCUGGAGGGUUCUGGUAGUUCUGGAGGGUUCUGGUAGUUCUGGGGGUUCUGGUAGUUCUGGAGGGUUCUGGUAGUUGCGGUCAUGUUGCUGUCUGAAUCUUCGGGUCUUUGGUUCCGUUAUCCUGCCGGGUCCAAAGGACAGUUUUCCGGUUUCCCUUCUGGGUUUCGUUGGAGGUUUGAUCCGCAGCGGUUCUGUUGUCGUCAUGCAGACCCGGUUUGUCGGUUUAAUAAGUUCUGCUGCGUCUCGGCUCGGUUCUUCCGUUUGUCUUUAAUUUGCUCCGGUUUUGCUCUUCUCCAGUCCGGUUUUCCACUCAGGAACGACGCGGAUGUGAAAAAGCUGCUUCUGUUUGUGACUGCAGGUUUCCUGAACGUCUCUUCGUUUCCGGUCCUCUUCCACGCCGCGUCUCUUCGUUUCCGGUCCUCUUCCACGCCGCUGUGGUUUUGCUUUCACAGAAACUGUCAACAGGCUUUUCUGUUACGGGUUUUGCUGCUUUCUCCACUCAUUUUCUGUUUCCAAAAAACUGUUUAAAAAAACGAUCCGUUUGAUAAACCACUGAACUCUAAAUUCAUUAACUGAGGCAUUAAAGCUUCUGAACUCAGAGCGGCGACGUGGUGACGUCAGGAGCCGGUUUACGGUCUGCAGCGUUCAGCACCUGGACGGUUCCGGGUUUAUGGAUCUGUUGCAUCAGCAGGUUUACAGAAAACGGAGCCACAGGUUUGAUGCCCGGAUCGGAUUUCCUCUGAGCGCGACGGAAGACCAGGCGGCUCACUCAGACUGCAGCGUGACGCCAAACCACGUCAAAGGCUUCAAAAUAUCUAAGUGAGACCUGCAGUAGUUAUCAAGUGAAACAGAGGAGCCUUCCUGCCACCGAUCCGGAGAGCAGGGCAGCGACAGGAGAGGGUAUUAACCUUUCUCCCGCUGAGGAGCCAGUAGUGGGUGGUGAUGGCACACGGAGAGGAGGUGGAACCCGACCAGAAGGAGGGUGAAGCCGGAGUUGCAGCUGUAGUGGAGGACCGUUCCCUCCGCCGGGGGCCCCGGGGGCCGCGCCGUCACCCUGCCGUUCUCCAGGGACGUCCACACCUUGGGGCACUGCAGCACUGAGGGGGAGCAGAGCAGAAGGCCGGAGGUUGGGAGCCGUCCAGAUGGCUGAACAGCCAAUCAGAGACGUGCGCCGCAGACAGCCGUUUCCUGGUGGACGGCCAAUCAGGAAGGUGGAUUUUACACGAGACGGACCAAGAACCCAAACUAUCCAACCAGACGAGAGACGGUUUCUCCUUCAAGCUUUAAAAUCUGUGAUGAGUGAAGUAAUGAAGAGAUUCUCCUGGUCGCCUGGGAAACAGGAGGAGUUUCAGCACGGUGGAGGACCCGUGAUGCCGCGCAGCACAAACACAAAAUAUUACCAAGUAUUUUCUUCCACUUUCAGGCCUCGGUAGCGGAUCCCUCCGUCCCGCGGAGGCCGGAUGAUGGCGCAGCCUGCACAGGAAGAGACAGGAUGAAGGACAGGAAGAGGACAGCAGGACAUCAGAGGACAUCAGGACAGCAGGACAGCAGGACAUCUGUCUUCAGUUUUAUGGCCUGGAGUCACUGUGACACCCAGAAGCCCCGCCCACUGGUCCUGCCUUACCUGUGACACCCAGAAGCCCCGCCCACUGGUCCUGCCUUACCUGUGACACCCAGAAGCCCCGCCCACUGGUCCUGCCUUACCUGUGACACCCAGAAGCCCCGCCCACUGGUCCUGCCUUACCUGUGACACCCAGAAGCCCCGCCCACUGGUCCUGCCUUACCUGUCAGCCGCUGCAGUGACAUCAACCCAGCAGCUCAUCAUCCAACCCUUCUCAUUCCCAUCGCAGGGAAUUUGUUUUUUUCUCCGAUG